GAAUUCCAGUCCUCAGCCCCAGUGACUGGUGUUCUGGCCCAACCUUCUUGCCUUCUGCACACAACACUGAAGGAAGGGAGUGAGAAGGAAGCAUGUAGCUGUCAUAUUCCAUUUAUUGGUGUGCCCAAAGGUUGUAGAGGUACUACUUUGUACUGCCAAAGGAGGUGAUGUGACACAAGGACGACCCAUUAGAUUCUAUUUGACCCACUAAUUACACUUGAGAUUUGGAAGAAUUUGAAGACUUCUACUUGGCAACUACCCAUGAGACUGCAAUUUGAGAAAGCUUCUUGACAAGAAAAACGUACCGUGGUAACAUAAGGAGAUCCUGCCCCCCCAGAAAGUGAUUUAACAUUUGUGACAGCUGCCAGAGACAAUCCAGACUUCCACUGGCUGUUCAAAUGGAUCUUCUGGUUGGAGAACCUCCGCACAGCCAAAACAGUCAUCUUCUGUCUGAGCUGAAGUUCUGUUCUCUUCAAAUAAGAAUGUUCUCUGACUGCUA